CACUCACAGAUCCGCUUCUGAAUCUCAGACUCUGUCCUGCUUCCCUGACAGAGCCAGCCAAUGGCUGCAGUGGCUUAAGACCAAGGACCAAAACUUUCAGAGUCCUUCCUUUCUGCCACGGGUCUGCCCCCCCAUUCAUGUUACCCCAUCUUCUUGACUUUAGGGGACGCUUGUUGCGAAAUUGGUGUGGCUCCUUUCUCCAUUCUGACAAUUACUGGUUGACUCACCAAAAUACUUGCCCGUCACGACUGAUAUUCUUCUGCGAGGCGCGAGCAGAUGCCCCAACAACUGUCUGGAGCCUUCCAGUGUGUGCCCUUAUCCUUGGUAGGAGAAGCGUCUAUUUUUAGGAAGGCCGUCCUGGUUAGCUUGACAGUUGUCUAGGGAAUUCCAAUCAAGGUUCCUCUUGGUGAGAAGGAACAUGCCUCACGCUGGCUUUAUCUGGGGACGUUUUCAGAAGGGCCAAAAAUUGUUUCUCCAGUAUUCCUGAAAACUGUAUUUGCCUAGGAGAGAGUUAGGGAGAACGUGGCUGCUGGGAAUAGCUGGCAACCAUGACGAAGGAGAAGCCCAUGGCAAACCAGGCAAGUGGAGAUGUCUAGUUGACAUGUAAACAAAAAAAUAAGAGCAAAGGCAUUUCUGUGAAACAAGCAGGACAGAAUUAUAUCAAAAGAGUCCCACCUAAGCCAGUGAGAACACAUGAGGUUGCAGCAGGAAGGAUGAAUUCAGAGCUUCUUCACUGGGCCCCAGGGAGGGGCUACGGCACACUUUGAUGACCUAAUUCUUGGUUUCCUGGAAAUUCAUCCUCCCUGUGUUCUCAAGCCCUAAGUCCACAACACCGAAGCAACCGUAGCUUGAAAACCCGCAGCCUGAGGCUGAGGACGUUUACCCACAGCACAAGGUGCCUUCAGAGGAGAAAGAAGAGAGGCCCACUGUCAGUGCUGUUUAUGGUAAAUAUUAAAAAAAAUUACAGAGUAAGCAGCUGUCAAGUUUUCCUGAUACGAAACAAGGUUUAAUUUGUUUUGGGGCAUUGUGGAAGGCUUAACUCGUUUGCUGCUAAAUU
rnacentral:sRNA from 1 species